CCGGCGACCGGCGCACGGGUGAGUAACGCGUAUGUAACCUACCUUUGACAGGGGGAUAACAUCGAGAAAUUGGUACUAAUACCCCAUAACAUCACCGGAGGCAUCUUCGGUGGUUGAAAACUCAGGUGGUCAGAGAUGGACAUGCGUUGUAUUAGCUAGUUGGUGAGGUAACGGCUCACCAAGGCGACGAUACAUAGGGGGACUGAGAGGUCAACCCCCACAUUGGUACUGAGACACGGACCAAACUCCUACGGGAGGCAGCAG
rnacentral:rRNA from 1 species